AGUGAACGCUGGCGGUAGGCCUAACACAUGCAAGUCGAACGGCAGCACAGUAAGAGCUUGCUCUUACGGGUGGCGAGUGGCGGACGGGUGAGGAAUACAUCGGAAUCUACUUUUUCGCGGGGGAUAACGUAGGGAAACUUACGCUAAUACCGCAUAAGACCUACGGGUGAAAGCAGGGGAUCUUCGGACCUUUCGCGAUUGAAUGAGCCGACGUCGGAUUAGCUAGUUGGCGGGGUAAGGGCCCACCAAGGCGACGAUCCGUAGCUGGUCUGAGAGGACGAACAGCCACGCUGGAACUGAGACACGGUCCAGACUCCUACGGGAGGCAGCAGUGGGGAAUAUUGGACAAUGGGCGCAAGCCUGAUCCAGCCAUACCGCGUGGGUGAAGAAGGCCUUCGGGUUGUAAAGCCCUUUUGUUGGGAAAGAAAAGCAGCAGGUUAAUACCCCGCUGUUCUGACGGUACCCAAAGAAUAAGCACCGGCUAACUUCGUG
rnacentral:rRNA from 1 species